ACCACAGGAUAGUCCUGCAUUGCCUCCAUUGACUCAGCUGGAGACUGAAGGCUGCUGGAGGGUUCAAGUGUAGUGGAAUCCCCUCAAACUGAACCUGGUAUGUACACACUUCCCAAAUGAGCAAGAGCAGGUGGGACUGAUGGAGUCCUUGCUGCCAGACUGGGAGAGUGAGUGUCUGGAAUAACUCCAUUUCAAUGUUAAAAUCUUUGAAAUGAAUUGAAUUGAAACUCCAUUUCAAUGUUAAAAAGAUUAUUUUUUUUUAUGAUAUGAAUCUACUGUUACUUUAAACAGAAAGCUUUUCAAUGUUCAUUAAUAUUGCUGACUGUAGUCUCCUAAGUUGAUUUGCAAAGGUGUUUGCAAUUAUUUUCUUCCUUCUUAGAGUAGUACUCAUAAGAAAACUCACUUUUCAGAUGAAAAAGAUGUAGCCAAUACCAAUAUCCUCCAAAUCGUAUCUUUGAUCUGAAGAAGUCAUUUUAAAACAUUCAUUAUAGAUGCACUUGGGGAAUGGAGCCAAGUAGGUAGUCCCUUUCUAUUUUAAUUAACGUCUGCAUUCAAGUCCAGCUUUUAUGCAAGACUUAUAGAAGCUUUUAUUAUCACUUUAAACUAUACAGACCACAUGCACAGCAAAACAGUACAGAAACAGUGAAUGAAAUAAAUCCAGUGCCAUUCCAUGUCCAAUGCAUUACCAACUAAACCAAUGCCAUGGUUUCAUCACUAUUAUUGUCUUCUUUUCCUUCAGUUCUCCAUUGGUUGCAACCUACAGCAGAAGCAGGAUCUGGAAAGUCUCUCUCAGGUCGAAGCAUUCAGAUAAUAAUCUCUGGCUGUUGAAAGGAGAGGGGAGAUCUGUCAAAGCAGGAAAAUAUUUCAGAUCCGGAUUCAGCUGCCCCACAUCCCCACUAAAGUACCUGAUUGAGCACCACUGCUGUAAAAAUUGUGCCUCCAGCAAUUCUUUCUGAGCUAUAUGCAAUUUCUACAAUUUAGAGGUCCCAAUCAUAUCCUGUCCUGAUACCACAUGAGGAUGGAGACAAGAGUUGAAGACAGAGAGAGAAGCGAAACUAGCUGCUUUCAUUUGGCAAGUGUCCAGAGUGUCCAGAAUGGGUCUGAGUGAUUCUGAUGGGGUGUGACACACGUUGUUUUCUAUGGUGGAACCAAGCCAAACAAAGAGGCAUUCGCAGGCAGACCUUGUGGGUACCUUCAGUCAUCGAGGAGUUUGGCAAUACCAAGAGCCUGAGCACAUCUCUUCUUGGAAAGGGUGGAAACCAGAGAUGAUAGAAGACGAUAACUUAAUGCAGUGAUUGCCGGUUGUCCAUGGGGAAGCAUAAACUUGAGCCAGGAUUUGGAAUCAAGCCAAGGAAAACUGCUGAGAAGACAGAUCCUUGGUAUCAUGUGCUGUAGGUCAUCAUGGGACCCAUCACAAAGCCCAGCUGGGUGAUGAGCUUUGUCUCUGCAGGCACCCGUGUCUCCCUACAUAGGCAACGUGGUAUUAGGCACCAGGAAUCCGUAUCCACAGCUCUUCAUGUUAAGGAAGGUUCUUACAAUUAAAAAGAUGGAGAAGAGGAUGAAGGAAAUGUCCUAAAAGAAGAAUCGGGAUUCUUGCUAUCACAAAGACUUAACAGAAGCAAAACAAAAGCGAAAAGAUAUAGACAGAGUUGAAUACUCUAAAAGGGUUUUCUGUUGGGGUGGUGAGGCUGCAGCUCUUAACGCCGCUCUGAUUGCUGAUGGCAUCAGUACUUAACUUGGGAUAGUGGGCAUGCAGGGAGGAAAGAACAGGAAGGGAAAGUUUACCUUACUGCAGCUUGCCCCCACGUUCCUGCACUGGAGUCCCAAUAAAGACCAUUGCUUCCUGAAGAAAGUUCAGAAGACAUGUUUCCAGAAGAAAAAGGACUAGCAGGAAGAAGGGUGAGCAGCUCUCAGUGCAGACUGGGGAGCAUGGGGUGCAUUGCAGAGUGUGGAUGAGCCACCCUAAUUGUGUUGACUUCCAAAGUUGGACUGCUCCCUGGACAGAAAGGUCAGCACUUGCAAGCUGUGGUAGCAGAAGACCUAGUUAAAUGAUGAGAAAACCUUAGUGGGACUGAACAGAGAAAGGAACAUGUUUCUAAAAGACAUUGGACAAAGCCCGACUGGCAAAUUCCCUGCUCAGCUGACUGCAAGGGAGGAUGUGCAGCACCUGCACCUGGACUCUCCUUCCAGAGGUCACAUGCAAAAACAGUGUUUUGAGAGGGUCUACACAAGCUGAAGAGCCUUACUUUAUUUCUCUGGUGAUACUAGUAUUUGUACCCAACUGCCAUAAGCCACGUGGUAUGCACUUUAUUCAGGGUUCAUCAUAGCAGCGAGUCCACGCAAGUCAAUUAUGUUUUGUGUGCUGGGAACCUUCUCACUACGAAAUGUAUUAAGUUACAAUUAACAUAAUGAAAUGGUGUAACAUAUGAGCCAGGACUGAGACGGCACUUGGAGGUGGGCGGCCCGUCAGUGGGAAGAUUCAGGCUGCCAGCAGGGAUGGUGGCACUGGAUCUUGAUGCUCACCUAAACUCACUGAUAAAUUAGCUUGUUAUUGCCUCUUCCCCAGGCACAGCAGACAGUUCUUAUUGGGUAUGUCUCUUAGCUGAAUUAGGUUGGUACGUUGCCAGCCCUGGUCAAAGAACUUUAUCUAAGACAUCUCGUGCUGCCAGCUGUAGGGAGAAAUGCUUUGUAAGUGGGUGAUCUUUAUUAUCCAAUGUAUUUCAGUAGAGGAGUUAUCGUUUAAACACUGCACUCCAUAACGACAACUGAACAAGCCUGACUAAAACAUUGGUGUAAAUAUAAAAACGUGUAUUUUCUUGCCUAA